rnacentral:rRNA from 1 species
UAAUUUAUUUUAAAAUUCUAAAUUUUUAGGUUUAUAAGUUCAUUAAUUAAUGUUUUAUUAUUUUAAAGUUUAUAAAAUUAAAAAAUUACCCCAAUUAAAUAUUAAUUAAAAUUUAUAUUAUUAAUAUUUAUAAUUUUAAUUUUAAUUUAUAUAAAAUUCUAAAGGGUCUUCUCGUCUUUUAAUAAUAUUUAAGAAUUUUAACUUAAAAUUUAAGUUUAAUUUUAAUUUUAUUAAUAAAGUUUAUAUUUCAUUUAAUCUUUCAUUCUAGUUUUCAAUUAAAAAACUAAUUAUUAUGCUACCUUUGUACAGUUAUUGAUACUGCAGCCAUUAAAAUUUUCAUUGGGCAGAUUAGACUUAAAAUUAUUUUCAAUAAGACAUGUUUUUGUUAAACAGGUGAAUAUAAAUUAUUUGCCUAGUUCAUAAAUAAAAUUUUUUUAACAUAUUUAUAUUAAUAAAUAUUUAUAUUUACUUAUAUAAUCAUUAUUUUUAUUAGAUAUUUAUUAUAUAAUAUAAUUUAAUAAAUUUUUAAAUUAUUUAUAAAUAUUUAGUAUUUUAAAUUAAAUUAUUAUAUACUUAUUAACAUUAAUUAUUAUUAUAUUUAUGUUAUUAAAUUAUUUAUAUUAAUUGUAAUAAAAAAUUUAGAGUUUAUUCCCUAAAUUUUUAUUAUAAAUAUAAAUAUUAAUAAUUAAAAUUUAAUAUUUAAAAAUUAUAACUUAAUUAAAUUAAUUUAUUAAAUAACUAGAUAUCAAAAAAAUCGAUUAAUAUAUUGUUUCUAAAUAUAAAUUAUUAAUAUUAUUUUUAUAAUAAAAUAUUUUAUAUUUAAUUUUUUUUUUUUCGAGAUUUUACAAUAAAAUAAAAUUUUAAUUAUCCCUGAUACAAAAGGUAAAAAUAUUUAAUUUAAUUUUAAAUUAUUUAAUAUAAUAUUUUUAUUUAUAAUAAAAUUAUUUUUUAGUUUUUUAUUAAACUUAAAAAAAUUUAAAUAAUUUUUUAUUUAUUAAAUAAUUAAUAUUUG